GUUAGCAUACGUCAGACUGGGUGACGGACUGGCAGUUAGUGACAGAAAGUUUGGCUUUACGCUUUGUUUUACUUACUUUUUAAGGAAGGCUGACAAUGCCUUUACAAACUCCUGCUGGUUGACAUCUUUCACCGUCACGCUGGGCAUCUAGAAAAAGAAAAUGGAGACAAAAAUUCGAGAGCUCUUUUGAGGACUGCGGUACAGACGGCAACAGAGGAGAAGUCGUCUGAGUGAGGAAGACAACACAAGAGGGUUGAAUUUAAGAUGACGUGGACUCUUGGCAUGCUUUAUAUAAGAUUGAAUUUAAGAUGACUUGGACUCUUGGACAUAUUUUAUACAAGUGAGGUCUGCCAUAGCAGCAGAGUGGAGGAGUUAGCUUUGGUUCCUCAUUGGUUGGCAGCAGGGGCGACAGACAGACCCUCAGAAAUGCUUUGACCAAUGAUAGACGCCUUCCCAGUGAGUGAGAAGAGAGGUAAAAGUUGCUUCCUGCUUUAAAGGAUGGGAUCCGGUCCAGGUUCUGCAGAGCGUCUAUGACAAACGGCACCCCAGCUUCUGUGACAUUCUUCCUGCUGACCCUGACAUUACCUCAUUCUCCUCCCCCUUUUCCAGCCACCAUGUGCAACAUAAUCUGUCUGCCUCUUGUUGUUUGCCGUCUUUUUCUGGCCUUCUCGUCUCGGCCGACAUGAUUCCUCGAUGAAGACAGGAAGGACAAGCGUGGGAUAAGCUCAGCUAAAAUUACAAACUGCGUGAAGAGAGAUUCAGAUUGUGGAAGUUUAUGACAGCUUGCUGAAUUCAUCCUGUCAUUUUAGAUGAAUAAAGUGUCUAAACAAGC